UACGUAGGUGGCAAGCGUUGUCCGGAAUUAUUGGGCGUAAAGCGCGCGCAGGUGGUUUCUUAAGUCUGAUGUGAAAGCCCACGGCUCAACCGUGGAGGGUCAUUGGAAACUGGAGGACUUGAGUACAGAAGAGGAAAGCGGAAUUCCACGUGUAGCGGUGAAAUGCGUAGAGAUGUGGAGGAACACCAGUGGCGAAGGCGGCUUUCUGGUCUGUAACUGACGCUGAGGCGCGAAAGCGUGGGGAGCAAACAGG
rnacentral:rRNA from 1 species